rnacentral:rRNA from 1 species
UCCAGAGGGUGCGAGCGUUAUUCGGAAUUACUGGGCGUAAAGGGCGCGUAGGCGGUGUAUUAAGUUCGCUGUGAAAUCCCUGGGCUUAACCUAGGAACUGCAACUAAUACUGGUACGCUAGAGUGCUGUAGAGGAUAGUGGAAUUUCCGGUGUAGCGGUGAAAUGCGUAGAUAUCGGAAGGAACACCAGUGGCGAAGGCGGCUAUCUGGACAGACACUGACGCUGAGGCGCGAAAGCGUGGGGAGCAAACAGG